CUUCACUCUCUCACAUUCUCUCUCACUUUCUCACACAGUCUCUCUCUCUCUCUCAUUCUCUCACUCACUCUCGGUCUCUCAUACUCUCUCUCGCUCUUUCUCUCACACUCGCUCACUCUCUCUCUCACUCACUGUCGGUCUCUCUCACACACUCGCUCACUCUCUCUCUCACAUUUCCUCGCUCUCUUGCUCUCUCUCUCUCUCCCCAAUCACAGCAACAGUAGCCAAUCAUAGGCAUGUAUGUGGAUGGCGCGUUCGUCCUGAGGAGAGCUGGAUGGAGGCUGGGAAUUGGCAAAAUUGACCAAAUUAUGGGUGGAAAAAAUGAGGGGAGAUGUGACCAACUCGUGCGUUAUUAUCAAAUCAUUUGUUGCAGUUAUUCUUGUAUCCGCAAGUACUCAACCUACAGUACCCUCCAGAAGAUGGUUUUAGAGAAUGUCGGAUUUUGUACAGCUGAGAUUAACGACUUGCUCUUUGCUACCUUUUAAUGACAGGUUUUCGUCGUUACGUUGCGGUGGCAGGAUGAUCACGUGAAUUCAUGUUUGUUCCCGCACAUAAUCGGAUAAAGUGUUACUAAGUCUUUCAGCUUUGAUCUGCAAUAACAGUAAAAAAUUUUAAAUAAACUAAUUUAUUUCGCUUUGACGCUCUAUUCACUAGUUAAGAACAAAUAUUGACGUUUGGAUUUUUUUUUUUUUCCCCACUUCUUAAAAAGCAGCACAUGGAAAAGGGGGUGAAAAUUUUCUGUUCCGUGUUUAGAUAUUUUCUCUCUGGAAAACUUGGCUUAUUUUGUAAUACUAAUUUUAAAAAGGUAACCUUUAAAGCAAUACAGUAAAUCGUGUGCAGUAUUUUCACUGUAAUGUAAAUGUCAUGUCCAUAAUGAAGGAAAAAGGAAAAAAAAAACAACAACAACAAAGGAGUAUCACAUGACACGUUUGUAUGGUGUGUAAAUUGCAGUCGGCUUUUAAUCUCUUUCAGUUGCUUUACAGACAAAUAUAAUAAAGAUAUGCAAUAAAUUAUUC
ensembl:lncRNA